rnacentral:ncRNA from 1 species
AUAAUAGAGGCGCGGGCUUCAUCAGUAGCCGGAGAGAUCGCACGGGAAUGUGCCGGUGAAAGGGGAGACCGCCGAGGCUUAUAUGCUUUUCCCGGGGCAUAUCUGUCGGGAUCACGCAGAAUAUGCGUGGUACUGUCGUUGCGGGAAUUCCCGACGGAGUGCUAUUC